GAUGAACGCUGGCGGUAUGCUUAACACAUGCAAGUCGUACGAAGAUCUUUGAUCUUAGUGGCGGACGGGUGAGUAACACGUGAGAAUCUGCCCUUAGGAAGAGGAUAACAGCUGGAAACGGUUGCUAAUACUCUAUACGCCGAGAGGUAAAAGGAUUUAUCCACCUUAGGAAGAGCUCGCGUCUGAUUAGCUUGUUGGUAAGGUAAUGGCUUACCAAGGCGACGAUCAGUAGCUGGUUUGAGAGGACGACCAGCCACACUGGGACUGAGACACGGCCCAGACUCCUACGGGAGGCAGCAGUGGGGAAUUUUCCGCAAUGGGCGAAAGCCUGACGGAGCAAUACCGCGUGAGGGAUGAAAGCCUGUGGGUUGUAAACCUCUUUUAUCAGGGAAGAAGCGAAAGUGACGGUACCUGAAGAAAAAGCACCGGCUAACUACGUG
rnacentral:rRNA from 1 species